UACUCUUCCUCUUGGGAAGAGCAGACUGAGAGAAAAAGGAUGAAAGUAUUCUUUGAUACUUUGAGGUUAUUCUAAGGGUUACGCAUUAAGUGCAGCCUAUCCAUGUCGAGUGCGCACCUAAAUAGGUAUGUAUAAGGUCCACAAGUAGUGACAGACGAGAGCACUGUUCACUACAGGGAUGCUCCUAACGCUUGGAUAUGGACCUCAAAUGCUCGCUCAUCAGAUAAAAUUGGAGUGAUUUGUUCGUUUUCACAGGAGGAUGGUGGUCAUGGAAAACGCAAUCCGCUGAGGAGCGUGUGGCAGCUUACCUGCCAACGGAACUCGCCUUGGAAAUGGAGGGUGCUGCAGCUGGGAGUCCCGCGCGCCCCCGCCUGCACUUCAAAAGAGGAGGGAAAGCUGUUAUUUUCACCCCUGGCCGUACCAUUAACCGCAUCAGGUCUCCAACGUUAGUAGCCUCUGGUUGAUAGAAGAAAGUAAAUAAGGGAAAUCGGCAAAAUGGAUCCGUAACUUUGGGAAAAGGUUGGCUCUGAGGGCUGGGUGUAUAGCGCCAGAGCGGUAAUCGUUGGUCGGAGCUGUGUGGGCCCGUUCGUGCUUCGCGGCGCGUCUGUGGACCGCCGGCACUGAUCGCGAUGUGACCAACGGAAGCAUCAAGCGGCAUGUGGCAGGGUGGGAGCGAGAUAGGUGGAAGGAAAUGGCAUAUCAAAGAAAACCUUUGGCCUGUCAGACAGCAAGUAGCAACGCUGUCUUGAAGGGACCCACGCCUCUGAAGCCAGAGGAAGUGAAGUUCACAAUAAGGGCACGAGCUUUACCACUUCCCACAAGAGCAUACGUCCAGACGAUCCACGUCUCAAAGGUUUCGCGCUGCCAACACUACAGGGCUGGCACUGAAACCCUCGCUCAUGCCCUUACAGCCUA
rnacentral:ncRNA from 1 species